rnacentral:rRNA from 1 species
UACGUAGGGGGCAAGCGUUGUCCGGAUUUAUUGGGCGUAAAGAGCGUGUAGGCGGCCAUGCAGGUCAGCUGUGAAAACUCGAGGCUCAACCUCGAGAGGUCGGUGGAAACCGUUUGGCUAGAGUCCGGGAAGAGGAGAGUGGAAUUCCCGGUGUAGCGGUGAAAUGCGCAGAUAUCGGGAAGAACACCCGUGGCGAAGGCGGCUCUCUGGGACGGUACGUGACGGCUGAGACGCGAAAAGCGUGGGGGAGC